rnacentral:lncRNA from 1 species
GGCACUGUAUGUUUCCACGAUACACAAGCACUAGCAUGUUUUUGAACUAUGGCAAUUUUUUUAAAAUUAUUUUAUACAUAAGAUAAUUAUUUGGUACUAUUUUCGAUAGGCUAAAAUUAGAGUAAGCCCAUUGGAAGCUUAUUGAUAAUUUUUUUUAGCUAUUGUUAGGAAAAUAUUUUCUCUUGAUUUUUUAGCAUGUCUAUGUAACAA